CCUACGGGAGGCAGCAGUGGGGAAUAUUGGGCAAUGGGCGAAAGCGGGAUCCAGCCAUGCCGCGUGUGUGAAGAAGGUCUCCUGAUUGUAAAGCACUUUAAGUUGGGAGGAAGGGCAGUCACCCACUACGUA
rnacentral:rRNA from 1 species